rnacentral:rRNA from 1 species
ACUUUGAAGAGAGAGUUCAAAAGGGCGUGAAACCGCUUAGAAGAAAACGGACGGAACCGUCUGACGCCCUCGGGAAUCAGUCGAACGACGCGCGAACGCGUCUCGAUCGUCGGAGCGUAAAAGUCCGGCUCGGGGCGUCUAGUAGUCGCGUUCGUAAGGCGCAUUUCUCGAGGGUUAGCGCCGCGACCGAUGCGAACGGCCGACGACGCCGUCGAGUUGAGGUCGAACGCCCUUCGCGGGUAUUCGUAACCAGCUCGUUCGGUUUCGAUCGUUGGAUCUAUAUAUAUAGCAUCGAGCGAAUACUUAAUAAAUACGUCGGCGUAAAACGCUCGACGAGCGGCGGAGACUCGGCCAGUCGUUCGAUACCUGCUCGCAGGUGCUCGUUCGGCGCGAGGUCGUUUCCCGAUGUCGCCGUCGACGCUACCGACGUUUAGGCGUCCGCGGCGUCCGAGUCGGCCACCCGUCCGACCCGUCUUGAAACACGGACCAAGGAGUCUAACGUACGCGCGAGUUAAUGGGCGGAAAACCCAUAAGCGCAAUAAAAGUAAAAGUCGUCCCAAGACGGCCGAGGUACGAUCCUAGACUACGCGUCUAGGCGCAGUACCGUCCCGUCCCGACCGCACGUCGGUAGGGCGGAGAUUGAGCGCAUACGUUGGGACCCGAAAGAUGGUGAACUAUGCCUGAGCAGAGCGAAGCCAGAGGAAACUCUGGUGGAGG